CCUCAGGGCUCUGGGACUCGUCUCAUCAGGACCCAAAGACUCCUGGAUGCUCGGGUUCUCAGGUGGCAGCGGAGUUGCAGCACUCCCGAGUGCCGUAACGACCGCAUGGAGAUGCGUGGCUCUUCGUGGGAACAGCAAGGAACCAGAAUCUGCAUUUCCUGGAAUGCCCCGGAACCCCGCUUUGCUGGCUGGUAACUGUCUGCCCAGCAGGUGGCAGCAGAGCUGCGUUGCUCCUGAGCACUUUAAGGACAGCACGGAGAUGCGCGGCUCUUCACGGCAGCAGCAGAAACUGGAAUCUGCAUUUCCUGGAACGCCCUGAAACCUCGCUUUGCUGGCCGGUAAUUGUCUGCCCAGCAGGUGAAGAUGCCUUUGAUGCUUCCAAUCGAUGACUUCCCCCCUGCGAUGCCAUUGGCUUUCCUGGUCUCUCACACUCACCGCCAGCUCAGUUCAGUUGAGCCGUUACCCGAA